rnacentral:rRNA from 1 species
GACGAACGCUGGCGGCGUGCUUAACACAUGCAAGUCGAACGGUAAGGCCCUUCGGGGUACACGAGUGGCGAACGGGUGAGUAACACGUGGGUGAUCUGCCCUGCACUUCGGGAUAAGCCUGGGAAACUGGGUCUAAUACCGGAUAGGACCACUGCCUGCAUGGGUGGUGGUGGAAAGCUUUUGCGGUGUGGGAUGGGCCCGCGGCCUAUCAGCUUGUUGGUGGGGUAAUGGCCUACCAAGGCGACGACGGGUAGCCGGCCUGGGAGGGUGACCGGCCACUCUGGGACUGAGAUACGGCCCAGACGCCUACGGGAGGCAGCAGUGGGGAAUAUUGCACAAUGGGCGCAAGCCUGAUGCAGCGACGCCGCGUGAGGGAUGACGGCCUUCGGGUUGUAAACCUCUUUCAGUAGGGACGAAGCGCAAGUGACGGUACCUACAGAAGAAGGACCGGCCAACUACGUGCCAGCCGCCGCUGUAA